rnacentral:rRNA from 1 species
GAACGCUGGCGGCGUGGAUUAGGCAUGCAAGUCGAACGGAGGUUUGGUAGCAAUAUCAAGCCUUAGUGGCGAACGGGUGAGUAACACGUGACCAAUCUGCCCCAGAGACUGGGAUAACAGCGGGAAACUGCUGCUAAUACCGGAUGCGGUCUCCGCCCUGCAUGGGGAGGAGAAGAAAGGAACCGCAAGGGACCGCUCUGGGAGGGGGUCGCGGCCUAUUAGGUAGUUGGUGAGGUAACGGCUCACCAAGCCGACGAUGGGUAGCUGGUCUGAGAGGAUGGUCAGCCACAUCGGGACUGAGACACUGCCCGGACUCCUACGGGAGGCUGCAGUCGAGAAUCUUGGGCAAUGCGCGAAAGCGUGACCCAGCGACGCCGCGUGGGGGAUGAAGGCUUUCGGGUCGUAAACCCCUUUUGCCUCGAAAGAACGCCCGCAAGGGUCUGACGGUACGGGGCGAAUAAGCCACGGCUAACUACGUGCCAGCAGCCGCGGUAAUACGUAGGUGGCGAGCGUUGUCCGGAUUUACUGGGCGUAAAGCGCGCGUAGGCGGUCGGGUCAGUUGGGUGUGAAAGGUUCAGGCUCAACCUGAAGAUUGCACCCAAUACUGCCCGGCUUGAGUGUCGGAGAGGAGAAUGGAACCAUGCGUGUAGCGGUGAAAUGCGUUGAGAUGCAUGGGAACACCUGUGGCGAAAGCGGUUCUCUGGACGACCACUGACGCUGAUGCGCGAAAGCUAGGGGAGUGAACGGGAUUAGAUACCCCGGUAAUCCUAGCCGUAAACGAUGGGCACUAGGUGUGGGGAGCAUCGACCCUCCCCGUGCCGCAGCUAACGCAAUAAGUGCCCCGCCUGGGGAGUACGGCCGCAAGGUUGAAACUCAAAAGAAUUGACGGGGGCCCGCACAAGCGGUGGAGCAUGUGGCUCAAUUCGACGCAACGCGAAGAACCUUACCAAGCCUUGACAUGCCCGGACAUCCCAUGAAAGUGGGCUUUCCCCGAAAGGGGACUGGGACACAGGUGGUGCAUGGCUGUCGUCAGCUCGUGCUGUGAAAUGUUGGGUUAAGUCCCGCAACGAGCGCAACCCUCAUCCUUAGUUACCAGCGGGUCAAGCCGGGGACUCUAAGGAAACUGCCAGCCUAAUCUGGAGGAAGGUGGGGAUGACGCCAAGUCAGCAUGCCCCUUACGGCUUGGGCUGCACACAUGCUACAAUGGCUGCAACAAAGGGUUCCGAAGCCGCGAGGUGAAGGGAAUCCCAAAAAAGCAGUCCCAGUUCGGAUCGGAGGCUGCAACUCGCCUCCGUGAAGCCGGAAUCGCUAGUAACCGCCGGUCAGCAACACGGCGGUGAAUACGUUCCCGGGCCUUGUACACACCGCCCGUCAAGCCACGAAAGCCGGGUGCGCCCUAAACCGGUGCGCCAACCCGCAAGGGAGGCAGCCGUCUAAGGCGAAACUGGUGAUUGGGGCUA